AAUAGAUACCCGGGUAGUCCUGGCCGUAACGAUGUCGACUAGAUCGUAGUGCCUCUGACGGUAUUACGGUCGAAGCAAAAGUGCUAAGUCGACCGCCUGGGAAGUACGGUCGCAAGGCUAAAACUCAAAGGAAUUGACGGGGGCUCACACAAGCGGUGGAGCAUGUGGUUCAAUUCGAAGCAACGCGCAGAACCUUACCUGGGCUUGACAUGCUAGGAUUAUCUCUAUGAAAGUAGAGUAGGCCCUUCGGGGUACAACUAGUACAGGUGCUGCAUGGCUGUCGUCAGCUCGUGUCGUGAGAUGUCGGGUUAAGUCCCUUAACGAGCGAAACCUUUGCCCUUAGUUGCCAGCGGGUAAUGCCGGGGACUCUAAGGGGACUGCCGGUGUCAAACCGGAGGAAGGUGGAGAUGACGUCAAGUCCUCAUGGCCUUUAUGCCCAGGGGCCACACACGUGCUACAAUGGCGUUGACAAAGCGACCCUAGAACGCGAGUUCAUGGAAAUCGCAUAAAUAACCGCCCCAGUUCAGA
rnacentral:rRNA from 1 species